UUUUUGAGGGAGGGACAAGGAUUAUUUGCCCUAUUUACAGAUCUGAAAAGAGAGUCAGAAAGGCUGAAGGGUCCACAGAAAUCCAGAAGACAUUUCCAGGCUGCCCACAAUGCUGCAUGAAGAAAAGGUCCUGUCUGUGAUAACCACCCUUUCACUGUAUGCUAAGCACUUGGUGUGUGUUACUGCAUCUGAUCUGCACAAGCACUUUGACAGCAAGACCUCAUUAGUCUAGUUUUAAACCACAGACCUAAGAUUCCAAGCAUCUGUUAUCUUGUCCUGUCAAGGUCACACAUAUGGCAUAUUUGUCUGCCUCAAGUCAUCUCGGUGAAGGUACCAUGUAGGUGCCCAGUGACACACUUGUUCUAGACCUCCACUCAAAUGCUAUCCCACUAGAGGUGGCUCUUUUUAACACACAAUCAUCUGUGGCUUUUGCUUCUCUCCUCUGUCUUUUUCUUUGAAACUACUAUACAGAAGAGAGAGAGAGAAAUGUAUACACACACACACACACACACACACACACACACACACACAUAUAUAUAUAUAUAUAUAUAUAUAUAUAUAUAUCAUAUUUGUCCCUUAGUAUUUGUAGGUCCAGGAUUCCCAGAGAAAGCCAAAAUUUAAGGACUGCCAGAUCCCUCAUAUAAAAUGGCUUAGUACUCACCUAUAACCAGUACACAUCCUCAUUAUCUUCCAGUCUUUUCUAGAUGAAUUGUAACACCCAAUUCAAGGUAAAUAUUGCAUAAACAGAUGUUGCAGUGUAUCUUUAGAGAAUGACAACGACAUCUGUAUAGGUUCUGUAUGCAUAAAUUUUUUUCUGAAAUAUUUUCUAUCUGAGGAUGGUUGACUAAGCAGAUAAGGAUCCUGUGAAUACAGACAGCUGACUGAAUAUGUUCAUGUCCUGGCCUGUGUAUGAGGGCAAGUACUGAUGUACAUACGUCUGGGUUCUCCUAGUAUGUGUUUUAUGAAAGCCAAGUCAAGAUCAAGUGUACCUGAUGGAAUUUCACUUCCACUUUAAGACUUCCUGCUACUGGCAAAGGACCCUGGAGUUGAGUUCUGUUUGAUCCCAUGAAAUGGAAUCAAAGGUCUACCUCAGCCAAGCAAAAAAGGUCUGAGUUCUAUUGGAAGGUUUCAGUUACUGUCAAAGGUCAAAGGUCAACUUGAAGGGUCUUGGACCAAACCUGACCCCUGAGCUGAGCUGGAGGAAACCCGACAAGGUUUGUUAUUACAUCUCAAGCUGGAAUUUACCGUUGGAAAAUGCAGCCUUUGUCACCAGCACAAGGAGAACUGCUUUGCAUUUGAUGACAUUUUCAAAACGGUGUGGAAAACCUUGACGUUUUUAUUAGAAAAUCUAUAAAGCCCAAACAAAUGGUUUCAUGCUGCUUUGCCUCAUUCUUCAUAGGUUCAUCGGCAAUCCAUCACCCCUCCCACUUUUUCCCUGCCCUCCCACUCCCCUCGCACCCUUCAAGAACAACAUCUUGCCCAUGAACAAAAGAACUGCUAGGCAGAGCCCUUUCAAGCCUCCAUUGUCCUUUGCCGCUCAACU